rnacentral:rRNA from 1 species
GACGAAGGAUGCAAGCGUUAUCCGGAUUCAUUGGGUUUAAAGGGAGCGUAGGUGGCCUUAUAAGUCAGUGGUGAAAUCUCUCAGCUUAACUGAGAAAUUGCCAUUGAUACUGUAGGGCUUGAGUACAGAUGCCGUUGGCGGAAUAUGACAUGUAGUGGUGAAAUACAUAGAGAUGUCAUAGAACACCGAUUGCGAAGGCAGCUGACGAAACUGUAACUGACACUGAGGCUCGAAAGUGUGGGGAUCAAACAGG